UACGUAGGGGGCUAGCGUUAUCCGGAAUUACUGGGCGUAAAGGGUGCGUAGGUGGUUUCUUAAGUCAGAGGUGAAAGGCUACGGCUCAACCGUAGUAAGCCUUUGAAACUGGGAAACUUGAGUGCAGGAGAGGAGAGUGGAAUUCCUAGUGUAGCGGUGAAAUGCGUAGAUAUUAGGAGGAACACCAGUUGCGAAGGCGGCUUACUGGACUGUAACUGACGUUGAGGCUCGAAAGCGUGGGGAGCAAACAGG
rnacentral:rRNA from 1 species